ensembl:snRNA U6 U6 spliceosomal RNA
GUGCUCGCUUCAGCAGCACAUAUACUAAUAUUGGAAUGCUACAGAGAAGAUUAGCAUGGCCCAGCAGAAGUUUGACAUGUAAAUUCAUGAAGUGUUCUAUAUUUUU